GAGGGUGUAGCUCAAGUGAUAGAGUGCAUGCCUAGCAUGCACAAGGUCCUGGGUUCAAUCCCCAGUACCUCCU
rnacentral:tRNA from 1 species